CCGCCGCCCCCUCCCCUUCUCUCGCGUUGAAGCCACUGCCCUACCCCUUCUCGUCGCGCCGCCGCCCCCUCCCCCUCCCCCUUCUCCUCGCGCCGCUGCCCCCUACCCCUCGCGCCGCUGCCCUCAGAGAAGCACCGCUGCGGCUGCUGCUCCUUGUCGCCGCUCCUCACCCACCCACCGCGGCCGCCUCCUCCCUCGGAACCCUAGCCAACCGCACGCAACCCAUGGCGUCGCCCAGCUCGCCGCCCUCGGUCAUCGCGUCGUCGCGGGGCUCCUCGCGCAAGUGCUGGCCUCUGCCAAGGCCACACCCGAGGCCGACCAGGAGGCCACGGUCUCCAAGCGCUCCCGCAAGAGCACCACGUCCGGGAAGAAGAAGCGCCCAAGGCGGCGGCGGGAAGGAGCCGCAGAAUUGGUGAUAGUCUCCCUGCUUCACCCACUGCUAGAUGUACCAGCAGCAGAAGCAAACCUCCCCUCCGCUCAUUGUUGGUGGUUUAGACUCGGGUUGUCGAUGUAGAUCGAUCCAGGGCCCCCCUCUUCAGUUAUUUUGCUUGGUGGUAUGUGGAUCUUCUCGUGCACUGAUAUACCUGAGGUUGAUCGAAAGUAUGGGGAUCGCCCUAUUGAUGCAGUAGACCUUCGAAGCGAAGCAGAAUUCGACAAGGCUGAAAAAGCUAGGGAGAAGUUGGUACUUGUUCUCCAGGACACAUGCUUGAACUAUCGAGCUAUCGAUCUGCGGACACCUGCAAAUCAAGCAAUCUUCUGCAUCCAAUGCCAUGUUGAGAACAAAUUCAGGGAAUCUUUGUUCUUCGGAGAAUUUUAUCGGGAUCCAGCACAGUCCAAAGUUGAUUGGUGGUCCAGGUGGAAGGUGGUGCAUCUGUAUUCAAUCUGGAGUAUAAUGGCCAGCCUGCUUGUUUAGCACAAUCUCCCCAAUUAUACAAGAAGAUGAGCAUCUGUGGUGGCUUUGGCCGCGUGCUUGAGGUUGGUCCUGUAUUUAGAGCAGAAAAACACUCACAGGCAGUUGUGUGAGUUUAUUGGGUUGGAUGCAGAGAUGGAGAUCAAGGAGCACUACUUUGAGUUUCUGCAGGGAGAACAUGAUAAGAGACGCACAUCUGAAAAGAUUGCUGAUGAUCAGUUAUUUGCUUCUGCGCCAUUUGACAGGCCAAGCAAUGGGCUUCGGAAUAUGGAACAACCAAAAAAAUACCCAAAUAUGUCAACACUCGUGUUACAGAGGUGUUCCCAGUUAAAAAAUCCAGAAACAUUGGAGAGGAAAACUAUAAGCUCGCCUGACUCCUCUACCCAGCAAGAGAAGAUGAAGGAGAAAUUGUGCAGCCUCCAUCCCUGUCCAACGUGUUGUGCGUUGCAGGAGGAGCGAGCGGACGCCGGAGACUGGCAACAAGCCGAGGUUGGAGCGGUGAUGGUGGCUGCAGCGGGAAAAACCGCGCCGGCAACAAGCACAAUUCCUCAUCUCUGUCUCCAACGAAAAGGAUCAUCUGGGCCCUAUGCUACUAUUGCUUGAGUGAGAGUAGUGCCAGUGCUUCACAAGUGAGAGCUCGGUGUCGUAUCCGCUGGCUGAGUGGCAAGCUGGAGCUGCAGGUCGCUGAACAUGGUGGUCCUACUGUGAGGAUCUCGUGUAUCAUUCUGUGUGUGUAUCUCUCAGUCCCGUUCCCCUUUAUGGUCAUCAUUCAUGCCUGUAGGGAUCACUAAGAUUUUUCUUGGUUUUGUUGUUGUCGAUUGCUGUGAUUGUUACUGCAAUAGUGGAUCAUAUAUAUACACUUGGCAACUCAGUUUAGGAUAUCGCUUGGUGGCCAGAAGGAGGCGAGCGACAGCCCCACCGUUGAACCACUCGUUGAUGACGCCGGCGGCGACGACCGGAUCCUGGGCGUCCCCUCCCCUUCCCGUCAGAUCCGUCAAGGUCCAGUGGACGGCAGGGACCAUCUCCGGUAGCCGAUGACGGAGCCGCCACCCUCCCGAGGCUCCCUUUGUCUAUAUAAUGACUCUGACAUUGUGUGUCUAUGAUGUGAUGACUUAUCCUGUUGGUUUACUUUUGCCAAAAAUGCUACUUUGCUUUUUGUAUGAUUGAUUGCGUUGCCCUUUGGCAUUGCUUGGAGGGAUGUUAUGUAUUGGGCACAAAUUAUGUUAUAUAUAAAGGCAAUGCUGUACUUUUGAUGUAAUUUCAAUACAUUUAACUGAUCCACUACUGUCGCAACAAUAGAUAUGUUGUUUAUACGUCCGGGCAAUGUGUUGAGCCAUACGUCUGACAAAGGUAUGCAUUCCUCCAUGUACCACUUACCUCUCCUGCGAUGCUUUCCGUGCUUUGUAUUUCAAGUAUUGGAUAAAGGGCAGUGCUUACUUAGGCCAUUUUGAUCGCGAUAUGCUGUGUCUCGCUCCUAUCACAAUUGAAUAUUUCUUCUUUGAUGUAUUAUUGUCAUACAUGAAUACACAUGAUAAACCUGGACAUUUGGAUUGUUACUAAGUAUUCCUUUCUUGACCAUAACGUUUGGACCGGCACCCUCACGCUAGAGUGCGAUACCGAUCUAGUCAUAUAUUCGGUGCGGCAGUCCAGCUUGCCAUGCCUGCCUGCUGCCGUUCUGGGCUGGCGGUCCUGGUGAACAUUUCCUUGUUUCCAGGCACUUCAUUCACGGCCAUGGGGCAUUUGGUAUGACAUCAUUUAUUGAGAAAAUUUUAGAGAAUGAGCCUUCUAUUAAUGUGAAGACUCAGAUGCUCUUUGGCCACCUAGAGUCAGUCAAUCAUCUGGAUUGUUCUUCAUUAACAUGCCGCUGGCAGAUCCACCAUUCCAGCCAUAUACUCCCUCCAUUUUUAUAUACAAGGCCACAAACCAAUAUUACAGGUACCAAGGUAGAAACUAAUGGUCAUUUAAGCCAAUGUUGCAAACUAGUCUUUUCUCCUCGCUUGACGUGUUAAUUAAUGUGUAUUUUCCUCUGCAACGCACAACAAGACAACUCUCUCACUCCUCAGUUCAACUGUGUGCAUAGGUACGAUCAAAUGAGUGUUAAGUAUCAGAACAGUAAUUCUGAAAGAUGACUCGGUUACUGCAAAUGUCAAUACAUCUCAGUUCAACUGUUCUUCAGUCACCUACAUAGUUUACAUAGGUGUUUUGGUGCAGGACGGCAGCAAGUCUUUCUCUAUGGGAGCGGCUGUCCUCCGACUGUGUGAAAUCCCAACUGCAAAACAUGGCGCAAAAGCUGGAAAAGAAGACAAGGGAGCCGCCGCUACUGAUGUGGCCAGACCCAGGCUGAUUGAGUCUUGGGGGCAAUGCGACGAUGCUCAUUCCCCGAGUAAUGCAGUUUGUGCAAGUGUCCCUGGAGCUGCGGUUAUGUAAUAUGUGUGUGGGAGCUCUGAUAGUUUCAGAUUUGUGUCUGUGCUGCUAGAGUCGCUGCAUUACUCGAGUUUACCUCUGUUUGUUUCAGUUUCUUUUGUUAUGUCCUACUAGUUUUAUUUAGUCCUUGCUGAGGUAGCGGUGG